rnacentral:misc_RNA from 1 species
GGGGAACCGUAUAAGAGGAAAAUUGCAGUUGUCUUCAUAAAUUUUACUGUGGAGACAUGGUGAACAAAAACAUAAUCAUGUCACCAGAUUUUUCUGGCAGAGCCGGCCUGAGAAUGCUUGUGUUCUUCAGAAAUGAAGACUUCUUGAUGCAAUUGAUGCCCAUGCUUGUCGGCACCUAACAGCUUCUUGACGAACAGCCCUCUUUGGAUCAUCAAGUGCUUUAGACAUUGCUUGUAAUACCUGGAUUCUCAACGGGUAAAUCCUUGUGUGAGGGAGUUCUGACAUGGCAACAAGACAUUGAAUAGCUGUCUCCCGGACAAGCAUCAUAUGAGGGUACGCAACCAGUUCAAUUAGGCACUUAAUGAUAAUAUGAGCAUUCUCUACGAUAGCUUCUUUUCCAUUUUUAUCUGUCAGUAUUCCUGAUAAGACCAGCAAGAGACCAUACAUGACAUCUUUAUCCAAAACAUACUUGCAUAACAAGGCUAAGCCCUCCAGCAAUAACGGAAUUAACUUCUUUGCAUCAUUCAAGACAACGAUUAG